GUAAAACGAGGAGGAAGGUGGGGAUGACGUCAAGUCAGCAUGGCCUUACGCCUUGGGCUACACACACGCUACAAUGGGUGAUACAACGGGAUGCCAAAGAGCAAUCUGGAGCUAAUCCCUAAAAAAUCAUCCUCAGUUCGGAUUGUAGGCUGAAACUGCCUGCAUGAAGUUGGAGUUGCUAGUAACCGCAGGUCAGCACACUGCGGUGAAUACGUUCUCGGGCCUU
rnacentral:rRNA from 1 species